AAAUUAAUGUAUUUCUUGAGAAGCCCUAAAAGCUCAUAAAGGAAAAUGCUGUGAACUCUGUAGCUCAGGCUUGGUAAGGUACCAUAUAAAUUACAAAACAAACUAAUGCAUAAUUUUGCUUAAAUUUCAUCCCAGUAUGAUUAUCUUCCCAGCACCAGCAUACAGUAUAGAUUGUCUUUUUUAUAUUUUUUAGUUCUUCCUGUACAUGUUUUUGGCAAUAAAGUUAUAGGAAAAACAGAAUUAUUUUGUUAGAAUUAAAACAUGCUUAAUACUUAAGUCUUUUUAUGGAGGGCCAAGUAUUCACAUGGACUAAGAUACAAUGUUGGAUACAGAAGAUAACUUUCAUUGUCUUCCUGGCACUGUGCUAAGGGCAUGCUGUUAAAUCUUCAAAAUGACCAGAUGAGGAAGGAAUAAUUAUUACUCCUGAUUUGUAGAUAACUGAGACAUACACUGUCAAAUGGAAGAAAUUAAAGCCGCAUCCUCAAUAUUAGGCAACAGAGUUUCUAAGAGUGGACAGCUCCAAGAAGGUUGUGAAGGAAACUUCAGGCCGUGAGAAACACGGCUUCAUCAGAAUCCCGGUCCUUGCCACUGUCUUCACUCGGUGCAUGCUCACCGCCACUUGGAGACCGACAGCUCAAAUCCUCCACCCCGGACUCUUGGUCACUGUUGGCUGACAGAUCUGGAUCUGAACUUUUCAGAUUGUCUUGGGUUAGAAUCAGAGCAGAAUCUUCAUCACCUUGUGAAGGGCUCCGGGAUGGAAAUGAUUUCAUAUUCCCACUGUAAUCCUGGGGAGUGUUGGCUAUGCUGUUGUC
rnacentral:sRNA from 1 species